UACGUAGGACGCAAGCGUUAUCCGGAAUUAUUGGGCGUAAAGAGUUCGUAGGCGGUUUGUCGCGUCUGCCGUGAAAGUCCGGGGCUCAACUCCGGAUCUGCGGUGGGUACGGGCAGACUAGAGUGAUGUAGGGGAGACUGGAAUUCCUGGUGUAGCGGUGAAAUGCGCAGAUAUCAGGAGGAACACCGAUGGCGAAGGCAGGUCUCUGGGCAUUAACUGACGCUGAGGAGCGAAAGCAUGGGGAGCGAACAGG
rnacentral:rRNA from 1 species